GCCUCCGUAGCUCAGCUGGCUAGAGCAGCUGAUUUGUAAUCAGCAGGUCGUGGGUUCGAGUCCCUCCGGAGGCUCAA
rnacentral:tRNA from 1 species